AUUAUCACCUAUAUGCCUCUUCCAUUGUUUAGCUCCUUUCAGUUCGUGAACCCUAAACUGUCUUGAUGAAACCCUAACUUCUUUUCAAGUUUCAAUGAAGUAUCCGGAGAUGGAUAAAACUUUGCUUUCUAUUCUUCUAGAGAUGUUUCUUGCCGGGAGAAGCUGAGCUUCUUGAUUCAGUAGGAACUCACAAGAGACUAUCCAUGAUUAACAGGCCAAACAACAUUGCGGUUCUUUGUGCACUCACCUUCUGCAGCUCCAAAUGCUACUUUACCUGAUUAGCUGUCGUUAGUCCUCCACGAAGAUUCUUUGGUGCUAUUUCAGCUAUGAACACAGGUAGGUGAAGAAGGGAGUAGCUAGAAGUAGUGAUGGCAACUUAAACCUGGUUCCAGUUCCCCCGUUCAGAAAAAAGGAAAAAGAAUGGAGUGGCUGUGCUCAAAAUGUUACUUACACAUGAUCCAAACUCAAAAGAGCCACACACUGCGACAAAUGUACUAAGCAAAAC